GAUGAACGCUAGCGGCAGGCCUAACACAUGCAAGUCGAGGGGGAGGUUACUUUCGGGUAACUGAGACCGGCGUACGGGUGCGUAACGCGUAUACAAUCUGCCUUUCACUGGGGGAUAGCCCGAAGAAAUUUGGAUUAAUACCCCAUAGUAUAGUAAUACGGCAUCGUGAUGCUAUUAAAGCUUAGGUGGUGAAAGAUGAGUAUGCGUUCUAUUAGCUAGUUGGAGAGGUAACGGCUCCCCAAGGCGAUGAUAGAUAGGGGUUCUGAGAGGGAUGUCCCCCACACUGGUACUGAGAUACGGACCAGACUACUACGGGAGGCAGCAGUGAGGAAUAUUGGACAAUGGUCGGAAGACUGAUCCAGCCAUGCCGCGUGCAGGAUGAAGGUCUUAUGGAUUGUAAACUGCUUUUGUAAGGGAAGAAUAAGGGCUACGCGUAGUUUGAUGACGGUACCUGACGAAUAAGCAUCGGCUAACUCCGUG
rnacentral:rRNA from 1 species